rnacentral:rRNA from 1 species
UACGUAGGGAGCAAGCGUUGUCCGGAAUCAUUGGGCGUAAAGCGCGCGUAGGUGGCCUCAUAAGUCCGCUGUGAAAAGUCCCAGGGCUCAACCCUGGAAUGCCAGUGGAAACUGUCGAGCUAGAGUCCGGAAGAGGCGAGUGGAAAUUCCUGGUGUAGCGGUGAAAUGCGCAGAUAUCAGGAGGAACACCAUGCGAAGGCAGCUCGCUGGGACGGUAACUGACGCUGAGACGCGAAAGCGUGGGGAGCAAACAGG